rnacentral:rRNA from 1 species
AUUGAACGCUGGCGGCAGGCCUAACACAUGCAAGUCGAGCGGAUGACGGGAGCUUGCUCCUUGAUUCAGCGGCGGACGGGUGAGUAAUGCCUAGGAAUCUGCCUGGUAGUGGGGGACAACGUUCCGAAAGGAGCGCUAAUACCGCAUACGUCCUACGGGAGAAAGUGUGGGAUCUUCGGACCUCACGCUAUCAGAUGAGCCUAGGUCGGAUUAGCUAGUUGGUGAGGUAAAGGCUCACCAAGGCGACGAUCCGUAACUGGUCUGAGAGGAUGAUCAGUCACACUGGAACUGAGACACGGUCCAGACUCCUACGGGAGGCAGCAGUGGGGAAUAUUGGACAAUGGGCGAAAGCCUGAUCCAGCAAUGCCGCGUGUGUGAAGAAGGUCUUCGGAUUGUAAAGCACUUUAAGUUGGGAGGAAGGGCAGUACGUUAAUACCUUGCUGUUUUGACGUUACCGACAGAAUAAGCACCGGCUAACUCUGUG